UACGGAGGGGGCUAGCGUUGUUCGGAAUCACUGGGCGUAAAGCGUGCGUAGGCGGCUUUGCAAGUCAGAGGUGAAAGCCUGGAGCUCAACUCCAGAACUGCCUUUGAGACUGCGGAGCUAGAGGUCGAGAGAGGUAAGUAGAAUUCCGAGUGUAGAGGUGAAAUUCGUAGAUAUUCGGAAGAAUACCAGUGGCGAAGGCGACUUACUGGAUCGAUACUGACGCUGAGGUACGAAAGCGUGGGGAGCAAACAGG
rnacentral:rRNA from 1 species